rnacentral:pre_miRNA from 1 species
CUUGUACUCCCUCCAUCCGAAAAUACUUGUCAUUGAAAUGGAUGUAUCUAGAUGUAUUUUAGUUGUAGACACAUCCAUUUUGAUGACAAGUAAUUCCGGACAGAGGGAGUACUUG